CGUCUCCUCCAUGUCUCCUCCUGAUAUGGAUUCAGCCCGCCUACAGCGGGCUUUCUUUU
rnacentral:ncRNA from 1 species